GGGACGUUAGCUCAGUUGGUAGAGCAGCGGACUUUUAAUCCGUUGGUCGUAGGUUCGAAUCCUACACGUCCUACCA
rnacentral:tRNA from 1 species